UACGUAGGGUGCGAGCGUUGUCCGGAAUUACUGGGCGUAAAGAGCUCGUAGGUGGUUUGUCGCGUUGUUCGUGAAAACUCACAGCUCAACUGUGGGCGUGCGGCGAUACGGGCAGACUAGAGUACUGCAGGGGAGACUGGAAUUCCUGGUGUAGCGGUGGAAUGCGCAGAUAUCAGGAGGAACACCGGUGGCGAAGGCGGGUCUCUGGGCCGAUACUGACGCUGAGGAGCGAAAGCGUGGGGAGCGAACAGG
rnacentral:rRNA from 1 species